UAGUUCUAAGGAAGCUACAGCUGUGUACACUCAAAAUUUAAUGUUAGAACUCCUGCCCCACAGAGAGUAUGCUGACUAGGUACUGUUGGGCAAGAGAACACCACAGACAGAACCAGCUCAGUAGAAUUCAUUUCCCUCUUCUCUAAUCUUUGCACCUCCUCCUGCCCCACCCACCUGCUGCAUGAAGUAUGGAGGCAGAUAUACAUGAAAAAUAAAUACUGAAGGAGGAAGUAAGAUUACAUACAAGGAAGUAAGAAGAGAGAAUGUGCAAAGGUUGCAGUUAGGAGUAUCCAAGGCUAGGAACAGCAAAGAGGAUUUACAAUAUGGGAAACAGAUGGUAUACCUGAUGAAAACCAAAAUUUUCCAGCAUUUGCUUUCAACCAAUCAAAGCUCCUACAACCCCCAGCAGGUCACUACCCUCCUGGGGAAGAGCUGAAUAUGCAUCUGUGUUUUGGAGCCAGGAGGUCAGGAGAUUAGAGAACAUUGCUCUAUCUCAUAAAUUUAUGGACAUAAUCCUCCAGAGCAAAAAUUAAGCCUGAAGUUAAGGCUUGAAAUAUAGAAUGUUAGUAAACCUCUCUACAUUA
rnacentral:lncRNA from 1 species